GAGUUUGAUCGUGGCUCAGAACGAACGUUGGCGGUAUGCUUAACACAUGCAAGUCGUACGUGAAAGCUUCCUUCGGGAAGCAAGUAAAGUGGCGCACGGGUGAGUAACACGUGGAUAAUCUACCCAGUAAUCCGGGAUAACAUCUCGAAAGAGAUGCUAAUACCUGAUAAGCCCACGAUCUCUUCGGAGAACGAGGGAAAAGGUGGGGACCUUCGGGCCUGCCGUUGCUGGAUGAGUCCGCGGCCCAUUAGCUAGUUGGUAGGGUAAUGGCCUACCAAGGCAACGAUGGGUAGCUGGUCUGAGAGGAUGAUCAGCCACACUGGAACUGAAGCACGGUCCAGACUCCUACGGGAGGCAGCAGUGGGGAAUUUUGCGCAAUGGGCGAAAGCCUGACGCAGCAAUACCGCGUGAGUGAUGAAGGCUCUCGGGUCGUAAAGCUCUGUCAGAGGGGAAGAACCUCCUGUCGUCUAAUACGCGGCAGGCCUGACGGUACCCUCAGAGGAAGCACCGGCUAACUCC
rnacentral:rRNA from 1 species